rnacentral:rRNA from 1 species
UGGGGAAUAUUGCACAAUGGGCGCAAGCCUGAUGCAGCCAUGCCGCGUGUGUGAAGAAGGCCUUCGGGUUGUAAAGCACUUUCAGCGAGGAGGAAGGGCAGUGUGUUAAUAGCACAUUGCAUUGACGUUACUCGCAGAAGAAGCACCGGCUAACUCCGUGCCAGCAGCCGCGGUAAUACGGAGGGUGCAAGCGUUAAUCGGAAUUACUGGGCGUAAAGCGCACGCGGGCGGUUUGUUAAGUUAGAUGUGAAAUCCCCGCGCUUAACGUGGGAACUGCAUUUGAAACUGGCAAGCUAGAGUCUUGUAGAGGGGGGUAGAAUUCCAGGUGUAGCGGUGAAAUGCGUAGAGAUCUGGAGGAAUACCGGUGGCGAAGGCGGCCCCCUGGACAAAGACUGACGCUCAGGUGCGAAAGCGUGGGGAGCAAACA